rnacentral:rRNA from 1 species
UACGUAGGUGGCAAGCGUUGUCCGGAUUUACUGGGCGUAAAGAGCGUGUAGGCGGUUAGGUAGGUCCGUUGUGAAAACUCGAGGCUCAACCUCGAGACGCCGAUGGAAACCAUCUAACUAGAGUCCGGAAGAGGAGAGUGGAAUUCCUGGUGUAGCGGUGAAAUGCGCAGAUAUCAGGAAGAACACCCGUGGCUAAGGCGGCUCUCUAGUACGGUACUGACGCUGAGACGCGAAAGCGUGGGGAGCGAACAGG